rnacentral:tRNA from 1 species
GGUGAGAUGACCGAGUGGUUAAGGUGGUAGACUCAAGCUAAGACUUGCGCUGUAUAGCAGCGUCGCAUUCUACUGGAGCAAUCCGCAGGGGUUCGAAUCCCCUUCUCAUCA